GUAGGUGGCAAGCGUUGUCCGGAAUUAUUGGGCGUAAAGCGCGCGCAGGCGGUUCUUUAAGUCUGAUGUGAAGGGCCCACGGGCUCAACCGCGGAGGGUCAUUGGAAACUGGAGAACUUGAGUACAGAAGAGGAAAGCGGAAUUCCACGUGUAGCGGUGAAAUGCGUAGAGAUGUGGAGGAACACCAGUGGCGAAGGCGGCUUUCUGGUCUGUAACUGACGCUGAGGCGCGAAAGCGUGGGGAGCAAACAGGAUUAGAUACCCUGGUAGUCCACGCCGUAAACGAUGAGUGCUAAGUGUUAGGGGGUUUCCGCCCCUUAGUGCUGCAGCUAACGCAUUAAGCACUCCGCCUGGGGAGUACGGCCGCAAGGCUG
rnacentral:rRNA from 1 species